rnacentral:tRNA from 1 species
GGGAGUGUAGCUCAGUAGUAGAGUACAUGCUUAGCAUGUGCAAGGUCCUGGGUUCCAUCCCCAGCACCA